rnacentral:rRNA from 1 species
UACGGAGGGGGCUAGCGUUGUUCGGAAUUACUGGGCGUAAAGCGCGCGUAGGCGGACCUGCAAGUCGGGGGUGAAAGCCCGAGGCUCAACCUCGGAACUGCCUUUGAUACUGGCAAUCUAGAGUCCGGAAGAGGUUAGUGGAAUUCCCAGUGUAGAGGUGAAAUUCGUAGAUAUUGGGAAGAACACCAGUGGCGAAGGCGGCUAACUGGUCCGGUACUGACGCUGAGGUGCGAAAGCGUGGGGAGCAAACAGG